rnacentral:rRNA from 1 species
UACGUAGGGUGCGAGCGUUGUCCGGAAUUAUUGGGCGUAAAGGGCUCGUAGGCGGUUUGUCGCGUCGGCUGUGAAAACUCGGGGCUCAACCCCGAGCCUGCAGUCGAUACGGGCAGACUAGAGUGCGGUAGGGGAGACUGGAAUUCCUGGUGUAGCGGUGAAAUGCGCAGAUAUCAGGAGGAACACCUAUAGCGAAGGCAGCUUGCUGGGACGUUACUGACGCUAAGGCGCGAAAGCGUGGGGAGCGAACAGG